rnacentral:rRNA from 1 species
CCUACGGGAGGCAGCAGUGGGGAAUAUUGGACAAUGGGGGGAACCCUGAUCCAGCCAUGCCGCGUGUGUGAAGAAGGCCUUUUGGUUGUAAAGCACUUUAAGCGAGGAGGAGGCUACCUAGAUUAAUACUCUGGGAUAGUGGACGUUACUCGCAGAAUAAGCACCGGCUAACUCUGUGCCAGCAGCCGCGGUAAUACAGAGGGUGCGAGCGUUAAUCGGAUUUACUGGGCGUAAAGCGUGCGUAGGCGGCUGAUUAAGUCGGAUGUGAAAUCCCUGAGCUUAACUUAGGAAUUGCAUUCGAUACUGGUCAGCUAGAGUAUGGGAGAGGAUGGUAGAAUUCCAGGUGUAGCGGUGAAAUGCGUAGAGAUCUGGAGGAAUACCGAUGGCGAAGGCAGCCAUCUGGCCUAAUACUGACGCUGAGGUACGAAAGCAUGGGGAGCAAACAGGAUUAGAUACCCUGGUAGUCCAUGCCGUAAACGAUGUCUACUAGCCGUUGGGGCCUUUGAGGCUUUAGUGGCGCAGCUAACGCGAUAAGUAGACCGCCUGGGGAGUACGGUCGCAAGACUAAAACUCAAAUGAAUUGACGG